rnacentral:antisense_RNA from 1 species
CUUCAGCGAGCCCAGCCACAGCGGCCGGUCCUCGGCCCGCUCCCGACCGUAGGUGGCCAGCAGCGCCUGCGCCUC